AAGUCGUAACAAGGUUUCCGUAGGUGAUAUCCUCCCGGUUUGCCUACCGAAGCCCCGGCGGCGCGACUCGAAAGAACGCUGCUUCAGUUGGCCCUCAUCUCGGUCGGGGCCGGCGACGCUAUCAUCUGCGACUGAAGCGUCUACGAGCGCACCAGCAGCUCACCGGAGUCCAACAGAUGCGAACCGAUUCGGCAGGCCAUUCGUUAAUGGUUUAGAUAUGAUCGGCCCCAGCCGCCACCGGCUGGCGAAUCCCGCGGAACCUGCGGAAGGAUCAUUACUGAGAGAGGGCCUCGCGCCCCCGGGGGGUUUCGGCCCCCCAACUCUUCAACCCUGUGUGAACGUACCUUUGUUGCUUUGGCGGGCUGCGGCGCUGACUCCCACACCGGGGUCGCCCGUGCCAGCGGCGCUAACCCGCAGAUGCUGGACCAUAAGCUCCCGUCAGAGGCCCAUCAAAACCCUUUGAAUUAGCGUCGUCCCGAGUACAAACAAUAGUAAAAA
rnacentral:misc_RNA from 1 species